CUUUCUUCCCAUCAUGGGGACAGCCAUGGCAGUCGAGCGGUUUCCGUGGACUACUAGAAGCAGAACGCCCAUACGGUAAGUCUACAUACACCUCAAGUUUCUUCUCCUGUUUGUGUAGGGAUCAGACUCCAUAAUUUGUUUCCUAGCUUGGCCGGCAAUAACCUCAGACACAUGGGUGCGAAUUUUCAUAUGGACCUCGUGAACAC